rnacentral:rRNA from 1 species
GACGAACGCUGGCGGCGUGCUUAACACAUGCAAGUCGAACGGAAAGGCCCUGCUUUUGUGGGGUGCUCGAGUGGCGAACGGGUGAGUAACACGUGAGUAACCUGCCCUUGACUUUGGGAUAACUUCAGGAAACUGGGGCUAAUACCGGAUAGGAGCUCCUGCUGCAUGGUGGGGGUUGGAAAGUUUCGGCGGUUGGGGAUGGACUCGCGGCUUAUCAGCUUGUUGGUGGGGUAGUGGCUUACCAAGGCUUUGACGGGUAGCCGGCCUGAGAGGGUGACAGGCCACAUGGGGACUGAGAGACGGCCCAGACGCCUACGGGAGGCAGCAGUGGGGAAUAUUGCGGAAUGGGGGGAAGCCUGAUGCAGCAACGCCGCGUGCGGGAUGACGGCCUUCGGGUUGUAAACCGCUUUCGCCGGUGACGAAGCGCGAGUGACGGUAAUGGGUAAAGAAGCACCGGCUAACUACGUG